rnacentral:rRNA from 1 species
AAGAGUACGUGAAACUGCUUAGAGGUUAAACCCGAUGAACCUGAAUAUCCAUUAUGGAAAAUUCAUCACUAAUAAUAUGAUAUUUAUAAUAUUAUAUAAAUAGUGUGCAAUUUUUCCAUAUAAGGACAUUGUAAUCUGUUAAUGUAAUAAAUAUUUAUCAUAAGAUCCAUUACUUAAGUUUAUUCGAAUUAGUUAUUUUCGGAUUUCUAACAUAGGAUAAAUGUUUUGGAUUUGAUAAAUCAUUGACAGAUAUAAUUAUAUAAUGUGCUUAAAUUUUUCGGAAUUUUAUCAAUGGUAGAUGAAUCUAAUGAUUUGUUUAUUUAAUUGUAUGCACUAUUAUGAUUAACAAUGCGAUAGAUUCAGGAUACCUUCGGGACCCGUCUUGAAACACGGACCAAGGAGUCUAACAUAUGUGCAAGUCAUUGGGUAUUUUUAAUAAAACCCAAUGGCGUAAUUAACUUAACUGUUAUAUAAUGGGAUUAGUUUAUAUUUUGUUAUGAAAUAUUAAUUCAAUCCCGGGGCGUUCUAUAUAGUUAUGUAUAAUAGUAUUUAUAUUAUUUAUGCCUCUAACUCGAGCGUACCUUGAGCAUAUAUGCUGUGACCCGA